GGAUGUGAGGGCGAUCUGGCUGCGACAUCUGUCACCCCAUUGAUCGCCAGGGUUGAUUCGGCUGAUCUGGCUGGCUAGGUGGGUGUCCCCCUCCUCCCUCACCAAUCCAUGUGCGUCCCUCCCGAAGCUGCGCGCUCGGUCGAAGAGGACGACCUUCCCCCCCGAGGAGAGGACCGGUCUUCGGUCAAGGGUAUACGAGUAGCUGCGCUCCCCUGCUAGAACCUCCAAACAAGCUCUCAAGGUCCAAAUUAGAGGAAAUGAAGCCAGGCCUCCAAGUAUGCAAGAAAACAUGGUUGUCUGAUACAAGAUUUAUAGCCAGGAAUU
rnacentral:snRNA from 1 species